rnacentral:rRNA from 1 species
ACCAGGUCUUGACAUCCUUUGACCACUCUAGAGAUAGAGCUUCCCCUUCGGGGGCAAAGUGACAGGUGGUGCAUGGUUGUCGUCAGCUCGUGUCGUGAGAUGUUGGGUUAAGUCCCGCAACGAGCGCAACCCUUAUUGUUAGUUGCCAUCAUUCAGUUGGGCACUCUAGCAAGACUGCCGGUGACAAACCGGAGGAAGGUGGGGAUGACGUCAAAUCAUCAUGCCCCUUAUGACCUGGGCUACACACGUGCUACAAUGGGAAGUACAACGAGUCGCGAAGUCGCGAGGCUAAGCUAAUCUCUUAAAGCUUCUCUCAGUUCGGAUUGCAGGCUGCAACUCGCCUGCAUGAAGCCGGAAUCGCUAGUAAUCGCGGAUCAGCACGCCGCGGUGAAUACGUUCCCGGGCCUUGUACACACCGCCCGUCACACCACGAGAGUUUGUAACACCCGAAGUCGGUGAGGUAACCUUUUGGAGCCAGCCGCCUAAGGUGGGAUAGAUGAUUGGGGUGAAGUCGUAACAAGGUAGCCGUAUCGGAAGGUGCGGCUGGAUCACCUCCUUUCUAAGGAA